GUUUAAACCUCUUAAUAUCUGCUCUCCUUAGUAUCACAAGAAAUACAAUAUAUUCAAGAAGCUGACCCUUCCAAGACAAUAGAAAACUCAGGAGACCCCUGCCUGGAAUUUAUAAUAAAAAGCUGGAAAGCAAAAGGUCUAGCGGGCUGCGGCCCCAUCUGUCCAGAUGAUCCAAGUGAGCCCCCCAGUGGUGUAGGAGCUUCAAAGUGUCCAGGAAUCCCUCCUGGGCCACGUCAUGGGCUGGCGUCGCACCUGUGGAGGGAUCCGGCCGGUUAGGAUCAGCUCCUCUCCGUAGCAGCAGCUCUGCCAUUUUGGAGCUUCCCACCAUCAUAACCUGAAA